CCAAUAACUCCGUCGGUAGCUCUUCUAGAGUUACUGCCGGUCCCAAGCCCAGGUAAACGAGGAGGGUUGG
rnacentral:ribozyme from 2 species